rnacentral:lncRNA from 1 species
GUCAAGUGUCAAGGCAAGCCAAAGAAGCAGUACUGGAUUUCCCCCGGAAAAGUAUGAAGAAUGUCGUGAAAAAAGUGACUGUGUUCAUUUGUAGUAUUCAAAGUGAGGACAGAACAUAUAAAGUUUUAAUCAUUGGAAUUGAUACUUUUUGUGGGGGUGGGAAUCUGUGUCCUUUGUAGUCCAGUUCCUUCCUAUCAGUCCUUAACCCAAUUUCCUCUUGACCCAGCCCAUCCCAUUCCUGAUUUGUAAUCCAGAUAUGAAUGUACAAAUAAUAUACAUGUAUAUCAUAUUUGAAUUAAAAUUAUUAAUAUAGAGCAUGGCCACAAAAUAAGCAGAGAGAUGUAUAUAGAUGAAUUUAAUAUGAAAUAUGUUAGUAUGAAAAUAUGUCUUAUGCAUGCAAUUGACACAAUAGUAACACUUUAUAAGAAUUGAUAAAGGUACACUUCUUUGUAAGUAAAUAUAUGUAUAUGAUAGAAAAGGUUGAAAACAUGAGGUUUUGGAGAUGUUUGUAAUAUUGUUAUGGAUUCAGUCUAUUAUCUUAUAUGGAAAAAUUAUUGAAUCGUAAAUUCCAUCCUGACCCUGCCCAUCUCAUUCCUGAUUGGUUGUCCUGAUAUGUUUAUACAAAUAAUAUAUAAUAUAACAUACCUGAAUGAAAAUAUUAAUGUAGAACAUAGUUGCAUUAAAAGCAGAGAAAAGAUGUGAAUAGAUAAAUUUGAUAUGAAAUAUUUUUUUGUGAAAAUAUGUCAUAUUCAUGUAGUUGACACUUUUUUGACACUUUCUAUAGUCACACUUUAUAAGAAGUGGUAAAAGUAUACUUCUGUGUAAUGCAUAUAUUUUGAUGUUUAUAUAGUGUUUAGAGUGAAGAAAGAACAUAAAAUGUUAAUAAUUGAAAUUGAUACUUUGUAUGGGAUGGGAACAUUGUCCUGUCUAUUCCAGUUCCUUCCCAUUCAUGCCUAUCCUAAGCCAACCUGACUCGGUCCGUUCCAUUUCUGAUGGGUAAUUCGUGUAUGAUAGUACAAAUAAUAUAUAAUAUAGCAUAUUAGAAUUAAAAUAUUUAUGUUGAGCGUGCCCCAAAUAAAGGAAGAGAAAAUAUGUGUAUACAUAGAAUAAUUAUGAAUAUGUUUUAUUCAUGCAAUUGACACUUACUAUGGUAACACUUUAUAAGAAGUGGUAAGAGUACACUUCUUUAUAAGUAGAUAUAUAUUUGAUAGAAAAGGUUAAAAACAUUUGUUUUUUAAGCUGUUCAUAAUAUUAUUAUGGAAACAGUCUAUUACCUAAAGACAAAUGAUUAUUAAAUCUGGAACCACACUUGUAUGGGCAAAUGAAGGUUGAUGUACAGUUGUUGAAAGUUACAUUCUUGCUGUAUUUUGAGAAGUAUGGAAAAAGAAUUGUUUGAUAGGUAAAAUACUUUUCUGUGUUUCAGUCAUAUUUGCUGAAUUUGCUGAUCAUUGUUGAAGCUGUGGAUUUUCCCUCGGAAAGAAUGAAGAAUGUUUUCAAGAAGAGACUGUAUUCAUUUGUAGUGUUUGAAGUGACGAAAGAAUAACAAAUUGAGACAGAAGACAAAAGAUGUUGAAUGUGACAGCUAGCAGGCUACAAGAUUGAUUUCCAAACCAAAUGAUAGGCACUAAAACACCCAUGGAUGAAGAAUCGGAAGGCUUAAUCUGCGGAUGUUGAAAAUUGUCACAUGCUGUGUAAGAAAAAUGCCAGCUGGAAAGAUAUAAUCUCUCACACCACCAGCACCAACUCGGACAGAUGGUAUCUCAACAUAUAGUAGAUUCACGGUGAUACAUCGUAGAGCAGAUAUACUGGUCAUACAAGAAUGUUGAGACGUGGAUAGUUGGUUUCCUGCGAAGAAGAAUGGAUUAUGUAACACCUGGAGCCAGAGAGUUCGGAGAAAGGGAUCAGCUCAAAGAACAUUGGAGGGGUCUGAUGACAAUAUUGAUAUAGGUUAUGAAGGUGAUCUACAACAUGGUUCUACGACUGCCAAUGAACUUCGGUAGAAGAGCUGGAGGGGAGUGGAGUGAGCAGAUUGCAGUACAGUCAAACCUGUCUAUAAAGACCACCCUUGGGAGAGCCAAAAUGUGGUCUUUAUUGGGAGGUGGUCGUUAUUCACAGGUAAAAAUAUAUUGUAAAUGUUAAAAUGGGAAACAAAACAUUUGGUCUCUGUUCAGAGGUGGUCUUUAACACCGGUUUGACUGUAUACACAUCAGUGGGAGUGGAACAGGCAGAUUUCAAUACAUACUACAUCAGUGGGAAAAGUGCAAUGAAGUUCAGCUGUUUCCAGCUUGAAACACAUCCCAAUGUGGACAGCCUAGGAGGUCCUCAUCAAGUUGCAGUAGAUUCAGUGAAAAAAGAAGUGGAGUAAGCUGUACUUGUGUCCUGCUACCUGUAAAAAAAUGAGGAAUCUUCAGAAGCACAAAAUGACAUGGUUGGCAUUCUGGAAGUUCAUGGAGUAUGCUCGUGGCCAGACAAAUCUUCAUCUUUUAGAGGUUUAAGUUACAAGACUGAUGGAAAAUGACAGUGACUGGACAGACAAUGAUGAUGGUGAAGAACUAUAGAAAACAUGGGAAAACUUUUAAUAGUGGUCAUCAACAAGCAGUCAUUGAUUCCAGUAUUCCAGCUAAUGUAUCGCUCUCAGGUUGAAGUUGCAAGGAGAGACUGAUGGAAAAUGACAGUGACUGGACAGACAAUGAUGAUGGUGAAGAACUAUAGAAAACUUGGGAAAACUUUUAAUAGUGGCCAUCAACAAGCAGUCAUUGGUCCAGUAUUCCAGCCAAUGUAUCCG